ACUUCUCUUUCCCGACCUGGUGUUGCUGCAGCCUUUAGUUCUUCAAUAAAACUCCUCCACAAAUUCUUCCCACGCAAGGGUCUGCCCAACCCCAUGUUGUAGCUACCCCACGUGAAGUUCUAGCAGCCCAGCCAUCCAUCGUUUGUAGCGCCGCUAGACCGGUGCACUCCCACUAUAACUCCUAUUUUUCUCUCUCUCUAUCUACGUUGAAGAACCAAGCACAGUAUCUUUCACGUUGCCCAUCUUGAGACUAUGCAGUGUUGUCCCUGCACAAACCAUCGCUGCUACUAUUGGAAACUUGCAUGUCCACUUCAUCAUAGAAUCCCAGCCAUUUGUCCCCUGUUUUAGCCCCCAAAAAUAGAGCAUCAACAGCCCAAUGCUCAUCUCGUUUGGAGCCACCACUCGGUGCCAGCCCCCUCCAUGUCGUUACCAUUGGCAUAGAAAACUUGAUAGGCACUCCAUGUUGCUCCAGUGCUCAGCUGCUCAUCUUGCCAGUAAAACCACUACAUCCGCCCAGCUCCGUCGCAACUCCUCGUGUUGCUAUCAGAGCAAAGUCAUGGAUAGUGAUGAGCAGGGAUGGUGGUAGAGUCCAACUUAUGAUUCUCACCUGAUGAUUUCUGGCACCUAGGAGCUGUAGAGAUGGUGGUAAGCUAGGAAGGUGGUAGAGUUCCGCCUGUGAUUCCAAUCAACAUUGCUCUGACAA